GACGAACGCUGGCGGCACGCCUAACACAUGCAAGUCGAGCGGAGAUUGAGAGCUUGCUCUCAUGAUCAGCGGCGGACGGGUGAGUAACACGUGAGCAACCUGCCUUUCAGAGGGGGACAACAGUUGGAAACGACUGCUAAUACCGCAUAACAUUGCCGAACGGCAUCGUUUGGCAAUCAAAGGAGCAAUCCGCUGAAAGAUGGGCUCGCGUCUGAUUAGAUAGUUGGUGAGGUAACGGCUCACCAAGUCGACGAUCAGUAGCCGGACUGAGAGGUUGAACGGCCACAUUGGGACUGAGACACGGCCCAGACUCCUACGGGAGGCAGCAGUGGGGGAUAUUGGACAAUGGGGGCAACCCUGAUCCAGCGACGCCGCGUGAGGGAAGAAGGUUUUCGGAUUGUAAACCUCUGUUGACGGAGAAAAAAAUGAUGGUAUCCGUUUAGAAAAGGCCACGGCUAACUACGUGCCAGCAGCCGCGGU
rnacentral:rRNA from 1 species